rnacentral:lncRNA from 1 species
GCAGUACAAAGUGUGACAGGCUUUUUUUUCUGCUCUCUACAUUAAACAUGGAAGCUUCUCCUGAUAGAGAUGCAUCCGAUACUGAAGAGAAACGGACAAGUCAUUAGCCGACUCGAGUGCGUUUGCGGCCAUGGAUUUGUUUAAGACUUAUUUAGACAAUAAACUUCAUUCACUGAAAAGGGAAUUAAAAGAGGAUACAGCCAAUACAACAGAUGAGGUGGUGAAGAAAAUAAAAACAGAACAUUCAUAUGAGUUCAAGUACAGUGGAAAUAAGGCUCAAUUCGAUUUUAACAGUGAGAUAGAUUCUGAAAUCAAGAAGAUAAAACGGGCU